AGAAGUUUUCUCCUCCUGUCCUGUAACUGGUUUUCACUCACUCAACUGAGAGAUUUCUUUGUUGCAAUGAUGGGGUCUAAGAUAACACUUCUGGAGGCUGCAGGCGAGAAACACAGCUGAUAUCAUCUUUUAUUGUGUGUUGUUAUUUGCCUAGCAUUAUAAAUUAAGGAGGAAUAGUAACAAAGAGCUUGAAGACAUGCACAGCUCACAGGCCCCGGGUGGAGGCUGGCGACAUCAGACAGACAGAACCAAGACAUCUGAGGGGCAACCAGGAGGUGCGUGUGGCUGCAGAGCACACAGGAUAUGAAUCAGAGAGAAAGAACUGAAGUCUUGUCUCAGGAAGAAAGAGGGCAGGCAGAGGAUUUUUCACUGACUUGUCUUUGGACAAAAUUGAGAAGAACUCAUAAACUUGGCUUCCUCGCUUCUGCUCCUCAGACCCCUGCAAACAUGACUUACCUUGGAAACUAUAAGAAAGGAUGGCCUUAUGUGAGGACACUCAUCAUCCUGGCGUUAAUGUGCUUCUCUUCUAUUUGGCAUUUGAGUCCAACACUACCUGAUCUCAGUCCUUCUUUUUAGAAUCAAUAUUUCCAUAGCAAGUGUAGCAUCAUCUUAAAUGGGGAAUCCCACUUUUUUUUUUUAAAGCUAGAGAUGGCAGUUUGGUGGGAUUGGCCAAAAAUAAUUUGAAGAAAGAAUGCACUAAGGGUGAAAAUGUUAUGUUUAUAAAAAUAUUAUGAAAGCUAAAUGUGAUGCACUUGAAAAAUGUGGCAGGAUAUUUCACUGUAUAUUCAUGAAAUCUGUAUCUAAACUAUAUCAAUAAAUACUAUUCAAGAGAA
rnacentral:lncRNA from 1 species